rnacentral:rRNA from 1 species
UGGGCGAAGCCUGAUCCAGCCAUGCCGCGUGUGUGAAGAAGGCUUUCGGGUUGUAAAGCACUUUCAGCGGGGAAGAAAGCAUACCGGCCAAUACCCGGUAUGGACGACAUCACCCGCAGAAGAAGCACCGGCUAACUCCGUGCCAGCAGCCGCGGUAAUACGGAGGGUGCAAGCGUUAAUCGGAAUUACUGGGCGUAAAGGGCGCGUAGGCGGUCUGUCACGCCGGGUGUGAAAGCCCCGGGCUCAACCUGGGAAUUGCAUCCGGAACGGGCAGACUUGAGUGCAGGAGAGGAAGGUAGAAUUCCCGGUGUAGCGGUGAAAUGCGUAGAGAUCGGGAGGAAUACCAGUGGCGAAGGCGGCCUUCUGGACUGACACUGACGCUGAGGCGCGAAAGCAUGGGUAGCAAACAGGAUUAGAUACCCUGGUAGUCCAUGCCGUAAACGAUGUCGACUAGCCGUUGGGUCCCUUGAGGACUUGGUGGCGCAGUUAACGCAAUAAGUCGACCGCCUGGGGAGUACGGCCGCAAGGCUAAAACUCAAAUGAAUUGACGGGGGCCCGCACAAGCGGUGGAGCAUGUGGUUUAAUUCGAUGCAACGCGAAGAACCUUACCUACCCUUGACAUCCAGAGAAGUCGCUAGAGAUAGCUUCGUGCCUUCGGGGAACUCUGAGACAGGUGCUGCAUGGCUGUCGUCAGCUCGUGUUGUGAAAUGUUGGGUUAAGUCCCGUAACGAGCGCAACCCCUAUCCCUAUUUGCCAGCGGUUCGGGCCGGGAACUCUAGGGAGACUGCCGGUGACAACCAGGAGGAAGGUGGGGACCAGACAAGUAGUUCUUGGCCUCUA